AACUGAGAAAGUCCAGCUGCCCAAGCAAAUGCCAGAAACACUCCUGCCCACACUCAGGAAGUGACUGUGAGGGUGGCACGAGCAGUCGGAGGGGCUCAGGCCCUGGGGAGCUGACAGGCUGCUCCCCGACACUUUCUGCUGCUUCUGUACAUGACGGUGAUGAAAGAAUUUGGAAAGAACUAGAAGUCCCUGCUGUCCUGCCCGGCACCUGUCAUGAGUGUCGGACUCCUGUGCUGUGUGGCCUUUUGCCUUCUGCGGGCAGGCUUGGUGAAUGCUGGUGUCACCCAGUCCCCCAAAUUCCAGAUCCUGGUGACGGGACAGAACAUGACACUGAGAUGUGCCCAGGAUAUGAACCAUGACAACAUGUACUGGUAUCGACAGGAUCCUGGGCUGGGACUGAGGCUGAUCCAUUACUCUGUUGGUGUUCCUUUCACUGACAAAGGAGAAGUCCCCAAUGGCUACAAAGUGUCUAGAUCAAGUACAGACAACUUCCCCCUCACUCUGGAGUCUGCCACCCCCUCCCAGACAUCUGUGUACUUCUGUGCCAGUCGUUACGCACAGCGCUGCACGGCUGCCUCCUCUCUGCACAUUAAGGCAGGGCAGGCUCUGCAGCCCCAGAGCUCAGCGAUGCCCUCAGCGGAGUUCUUAGCACCAGGACCCAGAGCCCUGCGGGGUUGUGCAGUGUGGACCUCAGGGUGUGUCAGGUGCCCCUGCAGGGGUCUCAGCCAGGCUGUGCGGAUCCCAGAGCUGAGGCACAGACUUGUCUCCUUUGCUGUUCCCUCAUCUUUCCCCUCUGCUCUCUCCUUGGGGUGGGAACAGAGCUCUCCCGUCUCUGACUUUUCUAGUCCUUAGCCUGAGUCCGAGGCCUCCAGGAUGGAGGGUGCUUUGCGUUUCAGGUGCGUGUAGACUCCUGCCUCUGCCUGGGCACCACGUGCUGUGCCUCUAGGAUUCUCCUCCAUCCCCAGCCCUCAUGUGGUCUCUGCUGCAGCUGCCUUUUACAUAUGGACAGUCACCUCAGGAGUCCCUGCUGGGUCCCUUCUCCCCCGCCCCCUUCAACCAACCUGCACAGACCCUCACCUGCACCUCCUUCCUUCCCAUCAUGGAGACUCAAAGGCCAUUUCCUCUGCCUGGGUGUGGAGCUUCCUUUCUGUAGAGGCUGAUUCCUACCCAUGCUUCAGAUCUCAGCAAACCUUCCCUCCUGAGGGAAGCAUUCCCAGGCCUCCCAUCUGAGUUCAGUUUCUCUCUCAUACCUUCUCACAAUACUCUGUUUGUUAGUUAGUGGAACAUAACAGAGUUGGAAUUUCCCAGAUUCUUGUCUUAUUAUUUUUCAGCCUCACUAGGAUUUAAACUCAGUGAGAGCGAUGGCUUUGCCUGGAGAUACCAAGAAUGGGGCCUGUCACAUAGGAAGUGCCCAUUCCAGAGAAUGGGUAAGUGACGGGGUGAAUGCUGAGUGGACGAAUGAGCCAAUACCAGGAAUACCCUCGAGUCACCGGACCCUGGCAGAGAUCUAGCAUUGGCUAUGAGAAAAGGUAUCCUUUCACUGCUGGGCUCAUAUCAGUCCUUGAAAUUAAUGGGAAUUGCUAACAUGGGCAGUCAGACCUGGGUCAAGGCUUCCCUUUGUGGCUGCAGCCCCAGACUCAGCUCCCGUGUCUGUUCCCUCCUUCAGGCUCUUUUCCCACAAUAAUUCUAGACAGAUCUGAGAAUCACUUCCAUAAUUGCAUCCUUAAUGCUUUGCUGUUUUUGGUGCCACUUCUGGUCUUAAAAUCUCUAUUAGGUAUGUAUCAAUAGAACAGAUCCACUGCAAGUUUUUGAGUGGGUGGGAUUUAUCACAGGACAAGCUGAGUGGCUGGGAUGUGAGAGGAUCAGAGCAUUGUCAGGCUACCCAAAAAAACAAAACAGAGAGCAGAAAAGUGAGCAGAAACAAUAAACAUUUUAAAUGGACAUCCCAAAAAAUGAGAAUUUUUGACAUGAUGAGAUAUGAACAUCUGAAAAAUUAUAUUUAAAUGAAUAUGAGAGGGAAUUUUAAUGUGAGCAAGGAAACAGUCAAAGCAUCAGGUGACUGUCAUAAAAUCAUCAAAUAGAAUAACUAGAUACGAUUAAUAUAAUCGUGGAAAAUGAAAUGAAGAUGGAAACAGCAGAUUUGGCUCGUGAAAGACUUUAGUGAUGUCAGAGGGACAUCUGCAGACAUUACCUAGAAGGCAGCAUAGAAAAUAAAGUGAAUAUUAAAGAGAAAUUAAGGAACAGGGAGAAAAAUGGGAGGUUUCUAGUUUAUUAGUGUAUGAAUAAUACUUUUUCAAAAUUUCCUAUGUUUUCUUGCACAUAAUUGAUGUUUCAAAAAAAAGAAAAUAGGGAGAAUGAUAUGAGAUGUGAGGUGAGACUUUUUCAGAGAUGUUAAGGACCUAAAUCUCGAAUUCAAGAAUUCAAAUGAAUCCCAAGUAAGACAAAUGCUCACAUCAGAGUGAAAUUGUAGAAGGCAAAUUGUUUUUUUAAAAAGGGAUUUUAAAGGUAGUCAGAAAGGAGAUACAGAUAUCUGCCAGAGGAACAUACCAAGAACAACAGUAAAAAAUCGAGAAAGUGGUUAAAGUAAUGAUUAACCAGAGCUGUAGUGCUCAUGGAUUUAAAAUGAUAUUGAUGGAAAAAUACUUUUAGGAGGGGAAAAGGGGGAAAAAGCUUUGUGAAUUUACCAGGAAGAUAUCUUUUCAAAAUUAUGCUUGACAAAGGUGGGAAAAGUUCCCCCAAAGAGGGCAUGAGGUGCUGUGUGAGAGAACCACUUAAUCUGUCCACAAGGAGCAUGUGUGGUUGGGGUUGGAGGGAGCUGGGCACAAACAGGAAGCCACAGGACAUGCUGACUUGCAGACAGACAACAGCUCAGCCCUUGGGCUCUUGUAUUAGAGACACUGUUGAACAGCUCAGUGAGCAUGCCCAGCAGACAGGGGGCGAUUGUUGGAUGAGAAGGUAAACUCAGAGCAGCGUGAGACUUCUGUACCCAGCCGGCACAGGAGCUGAA